rnacentral:rRNA from 1 species
GGUUGAUCCUGCCAGUAGUGAUAUGCUUGUCUCAAAGGCUAAGCCAUGCAAGUGUUAGUAUGAACUGAUAUUAUAUAGUGAAACUGCGAAUGGCUCAUUAAACCAGUUAUAGUUUACAAGAUGGAUACGUGCUUCGGUACACUACAUGGAUAACUGUAGUAACAUAGAGCUAAUACAUGCGUAAAGAUCCGACUUUACAGAAGGAUCUGCACUUAUUAGAUAACAAACCAAUAUCCUCUCGGGGAUUUCAUUGGUGAUUCAUAGUAACUGAACAAAUCGCAUAGCCUCGUG